UUACGAUAAUUAAAUUAUUAUCCCCGGCAAGCAAAACGUUUCGCCAGGUCACAAAAGAGAGCUUGAAAACAUCGAUAAAUGAUGUAUUAUGAAGCUGCGAAGCCUCUUGUUAAUGGAGGAGACGGUCUAUAAACUCAUAUAUCAACAUAUGGUUCAU